GCCAAUUAGUGAUGUUUUGCUGAAAAUGGAUUUCCUGUGUAGAUGUGUCAAAACAACGGAGAAAACGAGGAUAAAGACGCUAGUUUUAAUUCCAUUUGUUCAGUAAAGUAAAUAUUUUUGUAUAGUAGUGUGAGAGAGAGCCACGUUAACUAGUUAACUUAAUUAGUGCUAACGCAGUGGACUGUACUUCGCGUCAUCCCGAGUAUGCGUGUGGAAACCGUAUUUUCACAAAGCACCUGAGUGAAUACUGCAGGUUGAAGUGCUCAGGGUUUGCCCCGCAUACCAGAUGAACCUACCUGCGCCGACGGACAGAGCCUCUGGAGGUGUAUGUGGACCACGCCUACCGGACCCAGGUGGACGUGGCUCAGACGACUAGCGAGCUCUACGGAGUUUCCAAGGGACCGUUUCCCCAAACCAAACACCGUUAAUGAACCAUGAAGCUGACAUCUGCAAGAAAGCAACAACUACAUUAGUAAGUUGUUUCUCUCCUCUUUCAUAUCACUGCUGUUGUCGAGGUACUGUGACGCUGAUGCGGUGUAAAUUGAUUUCCUGGAAGAUGUGAUGGAUGAAUAGAGAAUGAACAUCUUCAUCGCUGACCCCGACGCCGAUUGCUUCUCCCCCUGCCCGCUCAGAUGAUUGACAAGGCUGCUAACGAGUGCCGUCGCCAGUCGUGUUAUAAUUUCGCUAUGUUGAAAACAGCCGAGACUCGGUCCCAAGGUAAUGAGCUUCUGGAAGAGAGGGAGGAGAAAGGAGAGGAGAGGCUCACCCUGAGAGAGGUGAAAUAAAAGAGUCGGAGUAAAUAAAAAAGGAGACAAAGCACAUGAAAGUAGAUUAGAAAGAAGUUGAGAUUAUCAUUGACUUGAGAGGGGCCGUUUCAUUGUUUAUGUGCUGUUUUGAUGGAUGUCUUUCAAGCUGGGCUUUCUAAGCUGCAGUGUAUUCAUUUCUCAAUCGCUGAGAGGCCAGGCAUUUCAAAAGGCACCAUAAAACAUGUUAUUUGCAUUAAAAGUAUUUGAUUUAAAAGUGCUGCAUGGUGCAGAUUGCGUAUCAGAGUGUGCAUGUCUGUACAUAUUCAAGCUUCUGUGUGUGCUUUUAAAAAGCAUUCUGUGCAUGUUUCAUUUGUGUGAGUGUAAUUGUUUGAAUAUGCAUGUAGGCAUGUGUAAGAGUCAUGCGUGUGUUUGUGUGUGCAUGUAAUUUAUUCCUCCACAUGGGGGCUUAGGGCAGGUCUCUCUGUGUUUAUUCGGAUGAUUAGGAGGUGACAAUAUGUUGCUGAUGAUCAGCUUUAUAAUCAGCUACCAUCACAGAUUAUUCUAACCUUGAUUAAAGACCUGCAGUCUCCCUAUCAUCUCCCAGCUCAGCCUAACAAGAUAGGAUGACGCUCUGAUUAAUGCCAGAGAGAGCCUAGUCAUGACACAAAGGACAGGCCUGCAUCACCACAGGAGGACUGGGGAAGCUGUCACGCAUCAUACUUUGUUGCCUUUCUGAUUUGUCGGCUUGAUACAGGACCUUUGUCUUAAUUAUUUUUCUUUUACAAAUUAAUCUGUGUGAGACUGAUUCAGUUUUCAUUAUCAAUGUUGUUGACGUCUGCCAUGAUUAGAUAUCAAAAGGAACGUUGCGCCAGAAUGUGACUGCUAUGCAUCCAUGUGCCAACAUAACCACUGUCUCUCCCCUUUCACAAUAACUCAUAAACUCAUCAGCAAACUUUCUUUUGUCUGACAAUCAUUAGUGUGAUGUGUGCGCAUGCACUUGUGUGUGUGCGGGGGUUUGUUUUUUUUCCUGGCAAA